UACAGAGGUCUCAACCGUUGUUCGGAUUCAUUGGGCGUAAAGGGUGCGUAGGCGGUCGUGCAAGUCGGAUGUGAAAUCUCAGGGCUCAACCCUGAAACUGCAUUCGAUACUGCGUGGCUAGAGUGCUGGAGAGGAGACUGGAAUUUACGGUGUAGCAGUGAAAUGCGUAGAUAUCGUAAGGAAGACCAGUGGCGAAGGCGAGUCUCUGGACAGCAACUGACGCUGAGGCACGAAGGCCAGGGGAGCGAACGGG
rnacentral:rRNA from 1 species